rnacentral:rRNA from 1 species
GAUUCGCGGCCUAUCAGCUUGUUGGUGAGGUAAUGGCUCACCAAGGCGACGACGGGUAGCCGGCCUGAGAGGGUGACCGGCCACACUGGAACUGAGAUACGGUCCAGACUCCUACGGGAGGCAGCAGUGGGGAAUAUUGCACAAUGGGCGAAAGCCUGAUGCAGCAACGCCGCGUGAGGGAUGAAGGCCUUCGGGUUGUAAACCUCUUUUAGCAGGGAAGAAGCGAAAGUGACGGUACCUGCAGAAAAAGCACCGGCUAACUACGUGCCAGCAGCCGCGGUAAUACGUAGGGUGCAAGCGUUGUCCGGAAUUAUUGGGCGUAAAGAGCUCGUAGGCGGUUUGUCGCGUCUGCUGUGAAAAUCCAAGGCUCAACCUUGGACCUGCAGUGGGUACGGGCAGACUAGAGUGCGGUAGGGGAGAUGGGAAUUCCUGGUGUAGCGGUGGAAUGCGCAGAUAUCAGGAGGAACACCAAUGGCGAAGGCACAUCUCUGGGCCGUAACUGACGCUGAGGAGCGAAAGCGUGGGGAGCGAACAGGAUUAGAUACCCUGGUAGUCCACGCCGUAAACGGUGGGUGCUAGUUGUGGGCCACAUUCCACGUGGUCCGUGACGAAGUUAACACAUUAAGCACCCCGCCUGGGGAGUACG